AGUCACUGACAUUAGAUACCCGUGUAGUCCAGGGUGUAAACGCUGCAGACUUGGUGUUGGAGGCCCUUGGGGCAUUCAGUGCCGGAGAGAAGUUGUUAAGUCUGCUACUUGGGGAGUACGUCCGCAAGGAUGAAACUUAAGGAAUUGGCGGGGAGCACCGCAACGGAGGAGCGUGCGGUUUAAUUGGAUUCAACACCGUAAAACUCACCAGGGAAGACUGUUACAUGAAGGCCGAGAUGAAGACUCUGCUAGAUUUUCAG
rnacentral:rRNA from 1 species